rnacentral:rRNA from 1 species
AUGUCAGGGAAGCAGUGCAAGCUUCAGGCCUCCAACCAAGCACACUUCCGGCAGGUCUCCAGGCAAAAUUUGGUCAGGGUGGCAACCAAACAUAUUUUCAGAACUGUGUACCGAAGGUGCAGGCGUGACAGGCGCCUCCACGCGGCGGCGAUCAUGGCCGCGGCCCUCCGCCCCCUGCUCCGCUGGCACGCAGUUCUGCCGCCAUCUUCGAUGCUGCGCGCUCUAUUCCCCGUGCCGUACUCCAAGGGUGAACCACACCGCUGCACUGCUGUUCAAAGUACCAUGAGUGACAGUACAAAGUCGUUGCUGGAUAAACUGAAGGAUCUCAAGGACAGUAAGAAGCCACUGGACGACAUGGAAAAGAAUAUUAAGGAGCGUAGGGAAAUGAUAAAGAAAGCUCUGCAUGACUCUAGGGUUGCUAAUGCUAUGUUUAGGGUAAGACUGGAUGGCCUUAGGAAACUUCUUGCCAAAAUACGUGAUGGCCGAGAGGAUUCUGCCAGAAUCAAUGCAAUAUACCGCAGAUUGGAGGAUGACUAUGACAAAGAUUGGGCCAUUCAUGAGUCUAAAGGUCGCUUGAUUGACGAACAGAUGAAAAUGUUAAGGAAGGAGGGAGAUGACUAUAUCAAUGCUUUGAGGGAGUAUCAUGAAUUGCAAAUAUCCAUCCUGAAGCAUGCAGAGGAGGUGGAGGAGGCGGAGAAGGUGGAGGAGGUAGAGAGCAUGGAGAAGGUGGAGGAGGUAGAGAACAUGGAGAAGGUGAAGAAGGUUGCAAAAGUGUGUGCCGCUGCUGGCCUCAUGGGAGGGCUUCUGGUGAUACUGGGAAAGAUCUAG